UAAAUUUCUUUAUACAUACACGCUGUCAUUUUAGAAGGCAUUCAUGGUGUCUUACUUGUUCCUUUCCACCAGCAUUCCAAUAGUUACUAUCAAAUAUUAAUAUGCUCUUGUCUCCAAAUAGGCUUCACCCAUCUCUCCAAUCCCCAUAGUCAUUUUCUUCAGAAUGCCAAUGCUGCUGGAACAACUGAUUCAAAGGAGUCACAUCAUCAGCUCUGUCUAACAUCUGAAAUAUGCACUCUGAACCUCAAGAUGUAAAGGAAAGAACACAGAAAAUUUUUGAUGACCUCAUAUCCUUUCAAUAGAUGCCCUAAGGAGAAAGAAAUGACAAUUAACAAAACCACUUGUAUAUGAAAGAAUUAUGAUCCAUCAUUUAGGUCAAUACACAGAAAUGCUUCUUUUUCAUGUCUUUGGGUGAAUCUGUGUGAACUCCUAUACCAACAAAUUAUAACAGGUCCUAACAUCUCUGUGAAUUCUUGCGGUCCUAUUUCCCUUUCUGAGAAAGAAAAAUGCACAAAGAUAAAACCAUAGUAUGCAUCUGGGUAAAAUUAAAUUAUCUAACUUUUAAAAUAUACCUGUCAUAGUAUGCAUUGAAAAAUAAUGUUAUGAUAUUACAAAAUAAUUUGUUUAUUAUGUGUUGAGCUCAAAUUUUAUAUUCAAGUAAGAUACAUGCCGCAUUUUGCAUUCUAAACAACUGUCAUGCUUAUUUUCAUCCAUGAAUCUUGUGCACUAAGUAAUUCUAGAAUACAUACACACUAGGGGAAAAGACUCAGAUUGUAUUUAAUAACAUACCCC
rnacentral:lncRNA from 1 species